rnacentral:rRNA from 1 species
UGGGGAAUAUUGCACAAUGGGCGCAAGCCUGAUGCAGCCAUGCCGCGUGUAUGAAGAAGGCCUUCGGGUUGUAAAGUACUUUCAGCGAGGAGGAAGGCGUUGUGGUUAAUAACCGCAACGAUUGACGUUACUCGCAGAAGAAGCACCGGCUAACUCCGUGCCAGCAGCCGCGGUAAUACGGAGGGUGCAAGCGUUAAUCGGAAUUACUGGGCGUAAAGCGCACGCAGGCGGUCUGUCAAGGCGGAUGUGAAAUCCCCGGGCUCAACCUGGGAACUGCAUUCGAAACUGGCAGGCUAGAGUCUUGUAGAGGGGGGUAGAAUUCCAGGUGUAGCGGUGAAAUGCGUAGAGAUCUGGAGGAAUACCGGUGGCGAAGGCGGCCCCCUGGACAAAGACUGACGCUCAGGUGCGAAAGCGUGGGGAGCAAACA